rnacentral:rRNA from 1 species
UUAGCAUGGAAUAAUAAAAUAGGACGUGCGGUUCUAUUUCGUUGGUUUCUAGGACCGCCGUAAUGAUUAAUAGGGACAGUCGGGGGCAUCAGUAUUCAAUUGUCAGAGGUGAAAUUCUUGGAUUUAUUGAAGACUAACUACUGCGAAAGCAUUUGCCAAGGAUGUUUUCAUUAAUCAGGAACGAAAGUUAGGGGAUCGAAGACGAUCAGAUACCGUCGUAGUCUUAACCAUAAACUAUGCCGACUAGGGAUCGGACGAUGUUAUUUUUUGACUCGUUCGGCACCUUACGAGAAAUCAAAGUGUUUGGGCUCCAGGGGGAGUAUGGUCGCAAGGCUGAAACUUAAAGAAAUUGACGGAAGGGCACCACCAGGGGUGGAGCCUGCGGCUUAAUUUGACUCAACACGGGGAAACUCACCAGGUCCAGACACAAUGAGGAUUGACAGAUUGAGAGCUCUUUCUUGAUUUUGUGGGUGGUGGUGCAUGGCCGUUCUUAGUUGGUGGAGUGAUUUGUCUGCUUAAUUGCGAUAACGAACGAGACCUUAACCUGCUAAAUAGCCCGUAUUGCUUUGGCAGUACGCUGGCUUCUUAGAGGGACUAUCGGCUCAAGCCGAUGGAAGUUUGAGGCAAUAACAGGUCUGUGAUGCCCUUAGAUGUUCUGGGCCGCACGUGCGCUACACUGACGGAGCCAGCGAGUACUUCCUUGUCCGAAAGGUCCGGGUAAUCUUGUUAACCUCCGUCGUGCUGGGGAUAGAGCAUUGCAAU